GAGGAAAAACUGAGGUGGUGAAAUGUCACGCGAGGAAAGAAAUCCGUGGCUCUUUGUUGAGCUGUGAUGGGAUGCUCCAACACAGUGCAUGCAUGUGCAGUUUAGCAGUCCGGUCUGUCGCUUUAAGACAGCGAUAGCUUUGAGUCUGAUUAAUUCAAUGUAAGUCGACGCGUUAGUGGAGAAACCUUAUUAGCCGCACAAAGAGAAAGGAGAGGAGGCGCGCUGUGCGCUGGAAGAGAAUUAGGUUUACUCUAACACUUGGAAGUUAUCAUAAUAAAAGCGUGGGUGUUUUUAAAAUGAGGACAUCUUGAGGAUGGAUUGUUUGGAGUAAAAGUCUGCAUCAUCGCGCACGAAAGGAGGGAUUUUUCCACCACCAGCUUGGAGUAAAAACACCACAAGUGGAGGACAGAAGAUCGGAAGGCAUGUCGUCGGAAAAACACGGUCUCGAUGACUCUGGCCGUCAGACCAUGCAGCCUCCUCCGUACCUCCCCGGCCCGCAAGACCCAAACGUACCUCAUCAUCCCAACAUGCAGCCUGCACCGGGCACCCAACCCAACUACCCUCCUCCGCCUCCUCCUCCAGGCUCAGAUGGAUAUCUCCAAGAAACUCAGUUCCACUGUGGCCCGCUGGGUCCCCAGGGGGCCCCGCAGGGCUACGCGGUCCAGACCCAGGGCCCCGGAGGCACCAUGCCUCACGCCCCUGUAGGAUACAUCCAUCCGGGCUACCCACUUCAGCUGCAGCCCUGCACAGCUUACGUACCCGUCUACCCCAUGGCAUCGGGUCAACCCUACAUGCCAGCCGGAGGAGGCCACCCAGGGAUUCUACCAGGCCAGAAUUACCCCAUGCAAAUGCCACCCAGCAUCACCCUAAUGGACCGUCGACCGCCACACGACUACCUGCCCAUCGCCGUGCUCACCACCGUUUGCUGCUUCUGGCCAACAGGCAUCAUUGCGAUCAUCAAGGCAGUGCAGGUGCGCACAGCGAUAUCCAGAGGGGACAUGGUGACGGCGGAAAUAGCCUCCCGCGAGGCACGCAACUUCUCCUUCAUCAGCCUGGCUGUUGGCAUCGCCUCCAUUGUGCUGUGCACCAUCCUCACCGUGGUUGUCAUCAUUGCCUCGCAGCACCACGAUGAUGACUGGGAGCCGUAACUCCACGCAGCGUUAGACAUGGGAAAUCAUGGCACUUAUUAGCUAGCUAACUACUCUCAAUCAUUUGGAGGUGCACUGAGAAUGCACACAAACUGCUACUGCAUUGCUGGCUCUCUGUGUACAGCUACACACACACACACACACACACACACACACACACUGAGCUCUGACCUAACCUGCUGCCAUCAAACACACGCCGACAACCAAAAACAACCAAUCACAGCUGAUGUUCAAAUGCCAAAUACAAACAGCUGCAAAAUUAGGCCCAGUUUUGCUGUUAGCACAGCGACCACUUAAUAUUUACACCCAGAUAUGAGCUCCAAGAGGGAAACAAAGCUCCUUGUAUUAACAAUUAAUUUGACGCUGAUUACUUCAUACUGAUGAUGUAGUUAGAUGAGAGGAUAGGUCACUGUGUGUUUCAGUUUUAAAUAUUCCAACAACUAAAUCUACUAAUUGUGCCCACGCAGAGUUAUUUUUUGGAUGGUUGAAUGCAUAUUUUAGUCUUAACUACAAGUACAAGUAUACAUGUGUUUUCUUCUUUAAAAACACAGUGCCAUGUUGAAACUCUUUUGAUUUAAAGGAGUAGUGUUAUUGCUGACAGAGACUACCAAACAGAUUAAAAUUGUUAGAUGGGGUGAUCAAUACACAUUUACCACACCAAAUGGAGACGCAACUGACAGAGUGUCUAAUGUAACCAAACACAGAGUAUUUAUUUGAGAUUGGUUGUUGGUAUAUUACAUGGACAUUUUAGCUGGAUGAGAUGAUGCAUACAUUAUGAAUUAUAUGUUUGUUGAUUUAGGGUUAAAAUCUGUUAUUUAUUAAGUCAUUCAAUAUCUACCCAUGCAUUGCCUUUGUCUUCAUUAAUUUUUAGUAUAUCACUAGUUUUUUGCAGCUAUAUUUGACAUUUUGAAAUUGGCUUCAAAUUUGAUUUCUGACGAUGUUGCGCUUUGUAGUAAUCAGAUUAUAUGAUGUAGCUGCUUACAUUCAGAGUUCUUAUAGUGCAUGAUAAAUAUAAAUUUAAGCUAAUGGGGCGUUUAGUGCAAUAAUAGCUUGUGUCCCAGCUGUUGGUGGGAAUAUUUCCUAAAAUGUCUACAAGUGUGUGGUACAGUAACUUUCAAACAAGCUACUGUCAGAACAAGAAAAUGAGACAAUUUAAAUGAAAGUUAUUGAAUCUUUGCAAAUAUUGUUUUCGCAAGUAUUAAGUAAAUGUUUUUGGCCUUUUUUGUGUUGCACAUCCCUUAGCUAUUUAAUCUCUGAGACACUGUGUGUGAAACUUUAGUACGACGUUAGACUUCUAAGGCUACAUAACCCUGCAUGUCAUCCACAGUUUGUUUCCAUUUGUCUUAAAUAUCGAGGCUAGAUGUGUGCUCCUUUGACGUUGUUUCACUGUAACACAUUUAGUCAGGGUUCAUUUCCUAUGAGUAUCAUCUCCAUAAUGUAGCAGCAGGUGUGCUGUUCUUUAUAAGAGCCAACAUGGCCGUAACGUUACUGUGUGAACUACUAUAUGAGGUUUCUGGAGUAAUGGGAGGAACUGAAAAUGAAUGUUUCCAAUAGGACAGAGAGAAAAUAUUAAUGCCUAUACUGUAUUGUAGCACUUUCAGCUCUAUGAAAUGUUUCCUCUGGUAUCUUUCCUCUCUCUGUUUGUCUUUCUCCUGUCCACAUGAGUUAUUGGACCAAUUCAUAUUUCCAUUCUGCUUCCCCCUUUUCCCCCUGUUGGUCUCUAUGAUGAUGCUAUUUUUAAGAGAAUUAUUCAGAGAUAUUACAAAAUUAUGUUUGUUGACAAUGAACACAAAUAGAGACAGUAUAAAUACAGUUUAUUAUGUAGUUUAUAUAUUAUUAUUGGUAUUAUUAUUAUUAUUAUUAUUGCCAACUGCAUUGCAUUUGAUUAUCACUCAUAAUAUUAAAUACAUCUGUGCACGUAUUUAUCAAAUUUCUAAAAACUACAAUUAAUAAUGCUCUUAAAAGCUAACUUAGUAGUAAAAAAAGUGACUUCCUCCUAUUUACAGCCAGUAACUUUUUCUUGAUUGAUCACAUUUGCUUAGAGCAGGAAUAGCCAAUCAGAGACAAGGAUUUACCCAACAACUGCCUUAUUGUUUAUUAUUAAAAAAAACAAAAACAAUCCUUCAUCCAUUUUACUCAGUGAUGAGUUUUUCUGCUAAAACGUGAUUAUUCUUACUGCUUCAGAUAACAUAUUCAUUACAAACAAUUAUAUUUAGUACAAUCAAUCCAAAACAUGUCUGUACGCUAAAUGUUACAUUUAGCUACAGCUAGGAGACGAUGAGCUUAGCUUAGCAUAAAGACUGUAAACGGGGAAACAGCUAGCCUGGCUCUGUCACCUCUAAAUUGUCAUUUUUACACUUUAGUCUUUGUUUGUAUAAAAAAAAAAGAGAGAGACAUAACACACAUUGGCUAGUAAGUAGAUUUUAUUACCUUUGGAUGAAACCAGGCUAGCUGUUUCCCCCUGUUGCUAAACUAAGCUAACUAGCUUCUUGCUGUUGUUUCAUAUUUAUUGUAUUGGUAUCGAUCUUGUCAUUUAACUCUUGGCAAGAAAGCAUAGAUAAGCCUACUUCCCACCUGUUUAUUAGUGAGUAUGGGUAAAAAUGAAAGAUUUUUACUUUAAAUUUCACUUUUAGCCUUUUGAUAAAUACAUGCCCUCUCCUUAUAUGACUCAGUGAUAUUUCUGUGUUAAAAGAGUAAAUGAAACAAAGUAUUGUUUAGCAUUAUUAUUGUACAGAGGGCUCUGGCAGCGAGUGUGUGUCUACUGAAUAGAGUCACUCCUAGCAUAUCUAGUUUAUACAGCGCUAGGCUUCGUCUCCUUGUGUGCUUUCUGAUGGGAAUCUUCUGUGCUCAGCAACAAAGCUGUUUACUACCCAGCUGGUAGAUGGGUUCUUCAUUUUCUUUUUUUUUGUUUUGUUUUUGAGCUUGUAAAUGCGAUGGGUUGCUUGUUUCAAAGAGACAAAAAAUACCUGUGUACAUGUGGUUCUCUUGGGGUUUAUUAUUAUAAUUACAGUAUGUUCAUGACUGUGUUGCACAUGGUUGGUUGUUUGAGUAAUGAAUAAAAGAAUCAUUUUUGGGUUGUGAACGA